CAGUAGCCGCGGUAAUACAGAGGGUGCGAGCGUUAAUCGGAUUUACUGGGCGUAAAGCGUGCGUAGGCGGCUUCUUAAGUCGGAUGUGAAAUCCCUGAGCUUAACUUAGGAAUUGCAUUCGAUACUGGGAAGCUAGAGUAUGGGAGAAGAUGGUAGAAUUCCAGGUGUAGCGGUGAAAUGCGUAGAGAUCUGGAGGAAUACCGAUGGCGAAGGCAGCCAUCUGGCCUAAUACUGACGCUGAGGUACGAAAGCAUGGGGAGCAAACAGGAUUAGAUACCCGGGUAGUCCCUGUCUCUUAUAC
rnacentral:rRNA from 1 species